CAAGAGAAGUUCAGUCUUUCAUAUAUUAGGCCCAGUAUCUGCUUACUAAGGACCUGAGUGAUCUACAUUGCUAAAGCAGACCUUCAACAUCAGGCAAGGGCUGAGAUCUUCACUCUGCAAGGUCAGUGUAACCUAUGGAAAUGGAGUUGCUCUUUCAGCUGCCGUGCACAAUGUCACUGAAGAUGUAGUUGAGAAAGAAAGCAGGUGUAAAGCCAAAAGUAUUUGUAAUUUGAACUGCUUGUUCUGAACUUGAAUUUCAAAAACAUUGUUUGAAGUGGCUCUGAUGUUAUUUUGAUUUACUAUCUUAGAAACGGCCCUGUCUUGGUUAGUCCAGAC
rnacentral:lncRNA from 1 species